AAAACUAUUAAAAUAAAAUUUAAAAUAUUAUAAAAAAAAUUAUUUCAAAUUAAUUUAGUUAAUAAAUACUUUUUAAAAAUUAUAAAUUUAUUAAAUUUAAAUAAUUUAUAUAAAUAUAUUAAAGAAAAAUUAAUUUUUUUUUCCUUUUGUAUCAGGAUUAAUUAAAAUAUAUAAAUAUAAUUAAUAUCUCGAAAUAAAAAAAUUUAAAUAAUUAUUUAAAUUAAUAUUACAAUAUUAUUAAAAAUUUUUAUUUAGAAACUAUAUAUUAAACAAUUUUUAUUAUAUCUAGUUAUUUAAGAAUAAAUUUAAUUUUUUUAAAUUAAAAUUUAUUUAAAAAUUAAAUAUUUUAAAUAAAUUUUAUUUAAAUAAAAUUUAAGGGAUAAACUUUAAAUUUAUAUUUAAAAUUAAAUAUAAAAUAAUUUAUAAAAUUAUAAAAUUUAAAAUUUUUUCUAAUAUAAAAAAUUUAAUAAUUUAUUAUUAAAUAAAAAAAAUUUUAAAUAAUUUAAAAAUAUAUUAAAUUAUUAUAAAUAAUAUAAAUUUAUAAAAAAUUAUAAUUUAAUUAGUAAAUAAUUUUUUAAAUUUAAAUAUUUAUUUUUAAUAAAUAAUUUUUUAAAGAAUUAAGCAAAAUUUAUAUUUACCUGUUUAACAAAAACAUGUCUUAAAGUAUAUUAAUUUUAAGUCCAAUCUGCCCAAUGAUUUUAUUUAAAUGGCUGCAGAAUUUUAACUGUACAAAGGUAGCAUAAUAAUUUGUUUUUUAAUUAAAAACUAGAAUGAAUGAUUACAUAAAAUAUAAACUGUUUCAAAUAAUUUAAUUAAAUUUUUUAUUUAAGUAAAAAAACUUAAAUAAAAUUAAAAGACGACAAGACCCUAUAGAAUUUUAUUAAUUUAACUUAAUUUUAAUAAAUUUAUUUCAUAAUUAAUAUAAAUUAAUUUAAUUGGGGUAAUUUAAAAAUUAAAAAAAUUUUUUAAUUAAAAACCAUUAAUUUAUGAAAAUCUAAUCUAAUAUAUUAAAUCUAAAAUUAAUUACCUUAGGGAUAACAGCAUAAUUUUUUUUAAAAGUUCAUAUUAAUAAAAAAGAUUAUGACCUCGAUGUUGAAUUAAGAUAUAAUAAAAAUGAAAAAAUUUUUAAAUUUAAGUCUGUUCGACUUUUAAAAUCUUACAUGAUUUGAGUUAAAAUCGGCGUGAGCCAGAUUGGAUUCUAUCUUUAAUUUAUAAAUAUAUAAUUGUACGAAAGGAAUUUAUAUAAUAAAUAAUUUAUAUUAAUAAAAAUAAUAAAAAUAAUAAUUAA
rnacentral:rRNA from 1 species